GAGUAAUAUAUCGGAACGUGUCCAAUAAUGGGGGAUAACGAGUCGAAAGAUUCGCUAAUACCGCAUACGCCCUACGGGGGAAAGCAGGGGAUCGUAAGACCUUGCGUUAAUGGAGCGGCCGAUAUCUGAUUAGCUUGUUGGUGAGGUAAAGGCUCACCAAGGCGACGAUCAGUAGCUGGUUUGAGAGAACGACCAGCCACACUGGAACUGAGACACGGUCCAGACUCCUACGGGAGGCAGCAGUGGGGAAUUUUGGACAAUGGGGGCAACCCUGAUCCAGCCAUUCCGCGUGAGUGAAGAAGGCCUUCGGGUUGUAAAGCUCUUUCGCAAGGGAAGAAAACUUAUGAUC
rnacentral:rRNA from 1 species